GAUUAAAAACAAGCAAUGAUGAACAAGCCCGAUCCCAUCUGAUCUUGGAAGCUAAGCUGGGUCAGGCCUGGUUAGUACUUGGAUGGGAGACCACCUAGGAAGACCAGGUGUUGUAGGCA
rnacentral:rRNA from 1 species